rnacentral:rRNA from 1 species
GUACACACCGCCCGUCACACCAUGGGAGUGGGUUGCACCAGAAGUAGCUAGCCUAACCUUCGGGAGGGCGGUUACCACGGUGUGGUCCAUGACUGGGGUGAAGUCGUAACAAGGUAGCCGUAGGUGAACCUGCAGAAGGAUCA